AUAUGAAUUUUUAAUAUCAUUUUGUAAAUGAAAACGAGCAUUUUAAACUGAUAGACUUGUUAAGAUUAUUACUAAAUUUGUAAAUUGAUCUUCUGAAAAGCAUACUACCAGAGACAAAAUCUAAGUACCUCACGUUAUGAGAUGUUUAUAAAUCAAUAUUUUAUGACAAAUAUUUUUGUUUAGCUCUUCAGUUAUAAAUCAAUACUUUAUGACAAAUAUUAUCUUUUUUGUUAGCUCUUCA
rnacentral:lncRNA from 1 species